rnacentral:lncRNA from 1 species
AACAAACAAAAACAAUACGACGACAACAAAAAUAAAAGCGAUGGAAAUAAAACAUGAAAGGAAAAACCCCCCACACCUGAAUUAAACAUUGACCUCAAUGUUUAAAUCCAGAUACAAAGGGGACUCACAGCGACUACUGUUGGUUUACUGCACUUGUGUAGUUUCCUUCCAUUUGGAGGUGUUGGUGACUUUGCCCUUUUA